rnacentral:rRNA from 1 species
GACGAACGCUGGCGGCGUGCUUAACACAUGCAAGUCGAACGGACGAGUGAGAUAAGUUUACUUAACUCACAAGUUAGUGGCGGACGGGUGAGUAACACGUGGAUAAUCUACCUGCAACACCCGGGAUAACGCUGUGAAAACGGUGCUAAUACCGGAUACGUUCCCUUGUGCGCAUGUAUGAGGGAAGAAAGCUCAGGCGGUUGCAGAUGAGUCCGCGGCUGAUUAGCUAGUUGGUGAGGUAAAGGCUCACCAAGGCGAUGAUCAGUAGCCGGCCUGAGAGGGUGAACGGCCACACUGGGACUGAGACACGGCCCAGACUCCUACGGGGGGCAGCAGUGGGGAAUCUUCCACAAUGGGCGAAAGCCUGAUGGAGCGACGCCGCGUGAGCGAAGAAGGCCUUGGGUUGUAAAGCUCUGUCUGGAGGGAGAAGGAAGUGACGGUACCUCCGGAGGAAGCCACGGCUAACUACCGUGCCAGCAGCCGCGGUAAUGAUAGUACCA